rnacentral:rRNA from 1 species
CAAUAGCGUAUAUUAAAGUUGUUGCAGUUAAAAAGCUCGUAGUUGGAUUUGUGGCGUACGGUGUGUUCCGGGCACUUGUUGUCUGAGUAACCGGCUGUUGCCAUCCUUGGGUGGAACCUGUGUGGCAUUAGGUUGUCGUGCAGGGGAUGCCCAUCAUUUACUGUGAAAAAAUUAGAGUGUUCAAAGCAGACUUAUGCCGUUGAAUAUAUUAGCAUGGAAUAAUGAGAUAGGACUUUUUUGCUAUUUUGUUGGUUUGCGCAAAGAGGUAAUGAUUAAUAGGGACAGUUGGGGGUAUUCGUAUUCCAUUGUCAGAGGUGAAAUUCUUGGAUUUUUGGAAGACGAACUACUGCGAAAGCAUUUACCAAGGAUGUUUUCAUUAA